CCUACGGGAGGCAGCAGUGGGGAAUAUUGCACAAUGGGCGAAAGCCUGAUGCAGCGACGCCGCGUGAAUGAAGAAGGCAUUCGUUUUGUAAACUUCUUUUAGAAGGGAAGAACAUGACGGUAUCUCAGUAAUAAGCACCGGCUAACUACGUGCCAGCAGCCGCGGUAAUACGUAGGGGUCAAGCGUUAUCCGGAUUUACUGGGUGUAAAGGGGGCGUAGACGGGCGUGCAAGACUGAAGUGAAAGGCGGGGGCUCAACCCCCGGACUGUUCUGGAAACUGUACAGCUGGAGUGCAGGAGAGGUAAGUGGAAUUCCUAGUGUAGCGGUGAAAUGCGGAGAUAUUAGGAGGAACACCAGUGGCGAAGGCGGGUUACUGGACUGUAACUGACGUUGAGGCGCGAAAGCGUGGGGAGCAAACAGGAUUAGAUACCCGGGUAGUC
rnacentral:rRNA from 1 species